AACGAACGCUGGCGGCAUGCCUAACACAUGCAAGUCGAACGAGACCUUCGAGUCUAGUGGCGCACGGGUGCGUAACGCGUGGGAACCUGCCCUUAGGUUCGGAAUAACUCCCCGAAAGGGGUGCUAAUACCGGAUAAUGUCCUCGGACCAAAGAUUUAUCGCCUUUGGAUGGGCCCGCGUUGGAUUAGCUAGUUGGUAGGGUAAAAGCCUACCAAGGCGACGAUCCAUAGCUGGUCUGAGAGGAUGAUCAGCCACACUGGGACUGAGACACGGCCCAGACUCCUACGGGAGGCAGCAGUGGGGAAUAUUGGACAAUGGGCGAAAGCCUGAUCCAGCAAUGCCGCGUGAGUGAUGAAGGCCUUAGGGUUGUAAAGCUCUUUUACCCGGGAUGAUAAUGACAGUACCGGGAGAAUAAGCUCCGGCUAAUUCCGUG
rnacentral:rRNA from 1 species